rnacentral:rRNA from 1 species
UACGUAAGGUGCAAGCGUUGUCCGGAAUUAUUGGGCGUAAAGAGCUCGUAGGCGGUCUGUCGCGUCGGCUGUGAAAACCCGAGGCUCAACUGCGGGCCUGCAGCCGAUACGGGCAGGCUAGAGUUCGGUAGGGGAGACUGGAAUUCCUGGUGUAGCGGUGAAAUGCGCAGAUAUCAGGAGGAACACCGGUGGCGAAGGCGGGUCUCUGGGCCGAUACUGACGCUGAGGAGCGAAAGCGUGGGGAGCGAACAGG